GAGGCACUGCCUCAGGUGAGGUGAUCAGCCAGUUCGGAUUAAGUUUCAAAAUAACAAAAAAGGAAAAGAGCCCGAAGCAAAAGUUUGGGCACCCUGCAUGGUCAGCACUUAGCAACACCCCCUUUGAGUGUUCUGGGGGCAGCCCACGAGAGUGUUGCCACGCUUCCGGCGCCAACAUAGCACACCCACAACUUCCUAGCCCGUACGUCUUUGGAAUGUGGGAGGAAACCGGAGCACCUGGAGGAAACCUA